rnacentral:rRNA from 1 species
UACGUAGGGGGCAAGCGUUGUCCGGAUUCAUUGGGCGUAAAGAGCGUGUAGGCGGCCAGAUAGGUCAGCUGUGAAAACUCGAGGCUCAACCUCGAGAUGUCGGCUGAAACCAUCUGGCUAGAGUCCGGAAGAGGAGAAUGGAAUUCCCGGUGUAGCGGUGAAAUGCGCAGAUAUCGGGAAGAACACCCGUGGCGAAGGCGGUUCUCUGGGACGGUACUGACGCUGAGACGCGAAAGCGUGGGGAGCGAACAGG